GGGUGCGAACUUACCAGGACUAAUGCAUCGGAUCCCAUCAGAACUCCGCAGUUAAGCGUGCCUGUGCGAGAGUAAUACUAGCAUGGGUAACUUCCUGGGAAGUCCUCGAGUUGCACCCC
rfam:Gossypium raimondii Chr06_contig_386, whole genome shotgun sequence.